GCUGACUGUUUGAUUGAAGUAGCGUUUCUAAAAAUGGCAUGCUUACCAGAAUGUCAGUGCUUCAAGAAAAGCUAAACCUGUGUCAGAUGCUCCCACUACCACGAUUCUGCCAUUGACGGUGACCUUCGGCUCCAUGCUGCUGUGAAAGUUGCAAAAAGAUGUGUGGCUACCAAUGGCAGACUGUGAAAGUGUUAAGGAAACCUGUUUGAAAACGGUAAAGCCAGCGCAGGUGCAUCCGUCUCAAACAUGCAGGACUUCUGUCAGACAUAAUGCCCUUCGUAACACAACACUCUAUUGACGAAGACUGGACAGGUGCUUUAACUCUGAUUAAUUCAUCUGAACCGGACGGAGGAUUAGCGCAGUCAUUGCACUCUUAUCUGCAGUGCUGCCUGGACACCGGCGUUGCUGCGCUACCAAAUGGAGCUUUCUAAUGUGGACUGAAGGGAAGCUGGUUUUGGUCUGACCUGUUGUUUGGUAAUCUGCUGGGACGGUGCAUUGAUGCCCAGCUCCUCCAGCGGGUAGAUGAUCUGUCGUCUCGGGCUCACCGGCACCAUAAAGUUCAACACCGCUGCCAGAGAGUGAAGACUGACAUUCUGAGAGCAAAGAAGGACAAAGGAAGAAAUGUUUGUCAAGCCCCGAACCAGAAAUCAAGACUUUUCAUGGAACUUCGAUCAACCAGUACUCUUCAGUUGACUGUUCCAAGGACACGCCUGAAAUUGAAAGGAGAAAAUGGACUUUUGCCCACCCUCUGGCUGUAAUGGGGUGGAUGGAGGAUGUAAUAGAGGCAGGACUUGUGUGCCAAGCGCAGCACCUCCCUAAAGAUAUAUUUGGUGUGAUGCUGGAAAACGGGGUUGAGG